CCUACGGGCGGCUGCAGUAAGGAAUAUUGGACAAUGGGCGCAAGCCUGAUCCAGCCAUGCCGCGUGCAGGAUGACGGCCCUAUGGGUUGUAAACUGCUUUUAUACGGGAAAAAACCCCUCUACGUGUAGAGGGCUGAUGGUACCGUAAGAAUAAGGAUCGGCUAACUCCGUGCCAGCAGCCGCGGUAAUACGGAGGAUCCGGGCGUUUUCCGGAGUUAUUGUGUUUAAAGGGUGUUGUGGCGCAGUGGUAAAAUCCUGCAGCUUAACUGGAGAACUGCCAUUGAUACUGCAAGUCUUGAGUACAUAUGAUGUGGGCGGAAUGUGUAGUGUAGCGGUGAAAUGCUUAGAUAUUACACAGAACACCAAUUGCGAAGGCAGCUCACAAAACUGUAACUGACGCUGAGGCACGAAAGCGUGGGGAGUGAACAGGAUUAGAUACCCCGGUAGUC
rnacentral:rRNA from 1 species